GGAAGCUACUAAGGGCUUACGGUGAAUGCCUUGGCGCCAAGUGCCGAUGAAGGACGUGGGUCACUGCGAUAAGCCUCGAAUAGCCGUGAACAGGCUUCGAUUCGGGGAUCUCCGAAUGGGGAAACCCGCUGUUGCGAACCAACAGCAUCCCUCUACUGAAUAUAUAGGUUUAGGGAAGGGAACCAGGGGAACUGAAACAUCUUAGUACCCUGAGGAAAGGAAAUUAUUCCCUGAGUAGUGGCGAGCGAAAAGGGAAAAGCCCAAACCAUCGCAGCUUGCUGUGGUGGGGUUGUAGGACCCGGCAUAUGGAAGUUACCAAGCAAAUCAUUAGCAGAAUGGUAUGGAAAAGCCAACCAAAGAAGGUGAGAGUCCCGUACGCGAAAAUGAUUUGCCUUCCGCUGGGCACCUGAGUACUGCCGGGCACGCUAAUCCGGCAGGAAUCUGGGGAGUCCACUCUCCAAGGCUAAAUACGUUUGGCGACCGAUAGUGCACAAGUACCGUGAGGGAAAGGUGAAAAGAACCCCGGUGAGGGGAGUGAAAUAGAAUCUGAAACCGUAAGCUUACAAGCAGUCGAAGGGCUAAUGGCGGGUCUGUUCGCCGGUGAAAGCCGGUUGAGCGCCGCUAUGCCUGACGGCGUGCCUCUGGGAGAAUGAGCCUGCAAGUUAAUCUUUGUGGCAAGGUUAAGGGAGUUACACCCGUAGCCGUAGCGAAAGCGAGUCUGAAUAGGGCGUACAGUCGCAAGGAUUAGACCCGAAACCGGGUGAGCUACCCAUGGCCAGGGUGAAACGAGUGUAAAAUCUCGUGGAGGCCCGAACCUACUAACGUUGCAAAGUCAGGGGAUGAGCUGUGGGUAGAGGUGAUAUGCCUAACGAACUCGGAGAUAGCUGGUUCUCCUCGAAAUAGCUUUAGGGCUAGCGCCAUGUGUUAAAUAUCGGAGGUAGAGCACUGGAUGGGCAAGGGGGCUUAUAGCUUACCGACCCCAACCAAACUCCGAAUGCCGGUAUUCCAGAACAUAGUAGUCUGACUGCGGGAGAUGAGUUUCGUAGUCAAAAGGGAAAGAGCCCAGAUCAUCAGCUAAGGUCCCUAAAUUCUGGCUAAGUGGUAAACGAUGUGAGGUUGCUGUAACAACCAGGAGGUUUGCUCAGAAGCAGCCACCCUUUAAAGAGUGCGUAACAGCUCACUGGUCAAGCGAUCUUGCGCGGAAAAUUUAACGGGGCUAAGCCAGGUACCGAAGCUAUGGGCUUCAGCUUUGCUGGAGCGGUAGAGGAGCGUUCUGUCAGCUGUGAAGGUCGACCGGAAGGACGGCUGGAGUGGGCAGAAGUGAGAAUGCAGGCAUGAGUAGCGUAAAACGUGUGAGAAUCAUGUUCGCCGUAUGUCUAAGGUUUCCGACGCCAGGUUGUUCCGCGUCGGGUUAGUCGGGUCCUUAGCCGAGGCCGAAAGGCGUAGGUGAUGGACGAACGGUCAACAUUCCGUUACCACUUGAAUGGAGCGAUGGGGGGACGCAGCGAGGUAGGCCAGCCUGCGAUUGGUUGUGCAGGUGCAUCUGACGUCAGGCGUUGAGAGCUGUAGGCAAAUCCGCAGCUCGAGCUGAGGUCAAGUGGCGGUCCUUUAAGGCAUAAGUGAGUUGAGCCUUGCUGCCGAGAAAAUCCUCUAAGCGAUGAAAUUCGAGUGCCCGUACCGCAAUCCGACACUGGUAGACGAGUAGAGAAUACUAAGGCGAUCGGGAGAACCCUCGUUAAGGAACUAGGCAAAUUAGCCCCGUAACUUCGGGAUAAGGGGUGCCUUUUGGCGUGAUAGAUUUCUAGAGCGCCGAUGGGUCGCAGUGAACAGGCUCUAGUGACUGGUUAACAAAACCACAGGUCUCUGCUAAGCCGUAAGGCGAUGUAUAGGGGCUGACACCUGCCCAGUGCCGGAAGGUUAAAGGGAGAGGUUAGCGUAAGCGAAGCUUUGAACUGAAGCCCCGGUGAACGGCGGCCGUAACUAUAACGGUCCUAAGGUAGCGAAAUUCCUUGUCGGGUAAG
rnacentral:rRNA from 1 species